GCGUUCGGGUAAUCGCUGUAAUGAGCGUAAGCGAAUUGCAGAGGAAAGUCCAUGCUCGCACGGGCUGAGAUGUCCGUAGUGUUCGUGCCUAGUGAAAUCAUAAGCUAGGGCAGCCAUUUGCUUGGCUGACGGCAGGGAAAAUGCCUAAGUCCAUUACUGGAUAUGGCAUGAAUACCUUGAAAGUGCCACAGUGACGUAGCCUUUUCAGAAAUGAAAAGGGUGGAACGAGGUAAACCCCACGAGCGAGAAACCCAAAUUAUGGUAGGGGCACUUUCUCUAAGGAAAUGAACGAGGAGAAGGACAGGUUCAUAAACCUGUAGAUAGAUGAUUACCACCUGAGUACGAGACUAAGGUCGUUUGCAGUACACAGGAACAAAACAUGGCUUACAGAA
rnacentral:RNase_P_RNA from 1 species